rnacentral:rRNA from 1 species
AUUGAACGCUGGCGGCAGGCUUAACACAUGCAAGUCGAGCGGGGGAAGGUAGCUUGCUACCGGACCUAGCGGCGGACGGGUGAGUAAUGCUUAGGAAUCUGCCUAUAAGUGGGGGACAACAUCUCGAAAGGGAUGCUAAUACCGCAUACGUCCUACGGGAGAAAGCAGGGGAUCUUCGGACCUUGCGCUAAUAGAUGAGCCUAAGUCGGAUUAGCUAGUUGGUGGGGUAAAGGCCUACCAAGGCGACGAUCUGUAGCGGGUCUGAGAGGAUGAUCCGCCACACUGGGAAUGGGACACGGCCCAGACUCCUACGGGAGGCAGCAGUGGGGAAUAUUGGACAAUGGGGGGAACCCUGAUCCAGCCAUGCAGCGUGUGUGAAGAAGGCCUUAUGGUUGUAAAGCACUUUAAGCGAGGAGGAGGCUACUCUAGUUAAUACCUAGGGAUAGUGGACGUUACUCGCAGAAUAAGCACCGGCUAACUCUGUGCCAGCCGCCGCCGUAAAAC